GGAACGUAUGAUGUUAAAAACGUUUGCUAGCAUAGUUCUUUUAUUGGUCGCCGGGACUGCGAAUGCAGCCGAUGGAGCUGUGGAUGUCUUUAAGAUGAUACCGCAUUUUCCCUCGGUGACGGCUGUCUACUCAGCGGCAAGUAAUAAAGACAUUCAGUGCUUGCAUGCACAGCUGACUCAGUAUGACGCCAAUGCCGGCCGUGCUACUUAGGUUUGGUUCAUAACCAAUAAGGCAAAGAAUGAAAAAACAACCACCAUCAAUGUACGAGAAGGAGAUUCCCCUGAAUAUACCCCCAUCGUGACCAGUGAUGAUCCUGGACAUCCCCAUAAUGCUACCGUACCCUAUGCAGACAACGACACGUGCUUCAUUUUGAAGAUUGAUGGAAUGGGUGACUCUUGUAUUUUGUGGGUGAACAAUGAAUUCAAGGACGACGUCCCAGAUGUUUGCGUCCAAAAGUACAAGGAAUCGUGUGGCAAAGGCAGUUCGGUUUAUGACAAGAAAACAUGCGAAGAAUAAGAACAUUAAAGAGAGUGGACCAGCGCAUCCGAUUUGAA